CCCACAGUGAAUCUUCAUCUACAAUUUCAUCUAACCAGAGUCAGGAGUCUGGUUAUCAGAGUGGCCCAAUUCAGUCGACAACCUAUACCUCCCAAAAUAAUGCUCAGGCCCCUCUAUAUGAGCAAAGAUCCACCCAGACUCGGCGGUACCCCAGUUCCAUCUCUUCAUCACCCCAAAAGGACCUGACUCAGGCAAAGGUAGUAGCCGCAUGAGCCCCUGGAUAGAGGUUAGAGAAACAGUGGGCAAAAGUCUCUUAAGUAUUAAAUAUUAGCAUUUUACUUCUCAGAAAGUGGUGCCAAGAAAUCUUGGAAGUGCUGAUUGAGAAGCUGCAAACACAUUUCUGUGAUUGGUAAAAUAAAAGUUUUCAGCAAUCCUGGAGACUCAGUCAGAAAACCAUUUUCUUUGCAGUAAAGAUUGUCUCUAGUAGAAUCAAAUAUCUGUCCUUUCUUGGAACAUCUAAUUGCUAGAUUUUUGGGUACAUAUCAGUAGAUCUUACUUUGCUUUUUCUUGGCUUUGUGAGAAGGACAGCAUAUGCUAGAGGUGGUAUUGAGUGACUGUCUUGUGCAGCCAGCAGGAUAAAUGGUUUGGCUGAACUGUCAUUCCCACAUCCUCCCACAAAGAUCAUUGGGUUUGGACUUUGGGCCUUUUAUGUACCUGUUUUGGGGUUGGGGUAUCUUCACCUGUUUGGGGGUUGUCUUCUGUUGCUGUUAGCCACACAGGCUUAGUAUAUCUGGUUUUUAUUGUUUUUAAUUUUUGUUUUGUUUGUUUGUGUAGUCUUGUAUUAAUCCUUUAGUUAACUAGCAGAAUUUCUCCCAAAUGUUUGUUAACUAGAAUUAAGCUGAGUUAGUAUUAAACUUCCCCCAUUCACAUGAGUUUGUCUGUUCUUGCUCCUCUGUUUUCUUGCUCCAGAAUGGCUUCAGUUCUGUGCAGGGCACGCAGUUACAGACCACGCAAUCUGUUGAAGGUGAGUAUUCUCCAGGCUUUUUAUUCUCAGUUGUUUUUUUCUUUCUCUUAAUAUUUUUGUAUUUCUUAAAAGUGAAAAGAGCUCUGGCACGAGGACUGGUUAGUCUUAAUUCUACUUUGCUGCUUAAUCUCCAGCCUUCCUAAGUUUCAGGUUCUCUGUCUUAAAAUGGUAACCAUUUUAUUGGUUCCCGUCACUGGACAAAUGAAAUUCACAUGCAAAGUGCCUAGAAUUAAAAAAGAUUAUACCAUUAUUAAAUAACUCAUACUGUUGUCUUUGGGGCAGCAUAGGACUGUAGUGAUUCUUCACGUUAGACAUUUUCUUUUCUUCUGGUGAGAUGGAUUCUUUUAUUUCUAGGUGCUACAGGCUCUGCAGUGAAAUCUGACUCACCUUCCACUUCUAGCAUCCCCCCUCUCAAUGAAACGGUAUCUGCAGCUUCCUUACUGACAACAACCAAUCAGCACUCAUCCUCCUUGGGUGGCUUGAGCCACAGUGAGGAAAUUCCAAAUACCACCACCACGCAACACAGCAGGUGAUUUGGGGUGAGGAUGGAGUUUGGGGUGAGGAUGGAGCUCUCUGGUUCUUUUUCUUUCUAACUGGCAAAGACCACAUUAGCCCCACUUUUGGGUAAAUGGGUGACCUGAAAACUGUGAGAGAUAAAGACAAAGAGACUUAUUUUAUUUUUUCCUUUCAGCAUCUACUUUUGUUUUAACUGUUGCUUACUAUCCCUGGCUGGCUCUUGUGCUUAUUACCAUUUUCUCAAGACUUUCUUGUUCCUAUGUUCUACCUUAUUUUCUUGCUUGUGUUCUUGAUUAAAGCUCCAGGCCAGGUGGCCAUAGCACUGUUGUUGAUGGCACCCUCUUUCCUUACAGCACGUUAUCUACACAGCAGAAUACCCUUUCAUCAUCAACAUCUUCUGGACGCACUUCGACAUCCACUCUUUUGGUAAGUAUGAUGCUGAAAGGAAGUGUGGUUCUUAAGCUUUUCUUAAACUAGCCAACCCUAAGAUUCUGCCAAGAGGGAAUUCUUGAUCAUUUCUUCAUGAGAUGAUAAAACUCAUUGAAUUGAGGUUGCAGAGAAACGAAUAAGGGGUUGUUGGGAAGCCAAAAGAAGCCAAAGAAUCCAGAAAUAAUGCAGAGCUAUGAAUCAUUCCUUAAAGCCUGGAAGGGACACCCUCCAUCCCCCAUUCCUGUGUUGAAGAUAAGGUAUAUGUUACAAAAGAACAUACCUUUCUAGGGGCUAGUGGUAUAGCUCAGUGGUACUGUAUGGGUUAGUGUGCAUGAAGCCCUUGGUUUAAUCCCCAGCACCAAAAAAAAGGAGAGUGGGGUGGAAAGAAAAGGACAAAUCUUGCUAACUGGUAGAGCUUGUGUUUCUCUUUCCUUAAAACACAACAUCAAGUUUAAAGUCAGCUGUAUGUUAUUCUAGCCCAUGAACUAGAGAAGAAAAGUGUGUGAGAGAAGGCUAUGAUACAUUUUUCAGAUUUCAACUUUAUUUGACAGGUCAACCAGUGUUGGUCUCCACCAACACUGGAGUUGUCACCACCCACUUUGCUGUCUUUCUUAACAGGAUGAUGGUAUAUGAGUCUGUAUUAAUAACCAUCCUUGUCACAUGAGUCUUUAGAAACAUGCAGCUAGAGAGUUUUUGUACCUUGGUAGAGGAGACUCUGUUAUUAUGCCCUGACCUUUUUAAUUGGGAAGUUGUUGUGAUGAUCAUAUUCAAGAGAAUAGAUUGUUUAUCAUUCCUAACCUAUAUUGCUAAUUGGUGCUUCCUUCAUCUCUCUUCCAUUGCUCCUCCCUUUUGAAGCACACAAGUGUGGAGAGUGAGGCGAAUCUCCAUUCUUCCUCCAGCACUUUCUCUACCACGUCCAGCACAGUCUCUGCACCUCCCCCAGUGGUCAGUGUCUCUUCCAGUCUCAACAGUGGCAGCAGUCUGGGCCUUAGCCUAGGCAGCAACUCCACUGUCACAGCCUCAACUCGAAGCUCGGUUGCUACAACUUCAGGUACCUUUGCAUUAGCUGCAUGGCAUUCCUCUAGGAUGGAGGGAAUCAAUAAUUGUGUGAUAGCAUAAAAAUGUUUUUUCUCUUUUAGGAAAAGCUCCUCCCAACCUUCCUCCUGGGGUCCCGCCAUUGUUGCCUAAUCCAUAUAUUAUGGCUCCAGGGCUGUUACAUGCCUACCCAGUAAGUAGGAUUGAAGGGUUUGUUCUAAAAGGUGGUGUUGGUGGGACUAUUCUUUAUAGUUCUGGCUUCAGGCAGUAGACUGUAAUUACAAUACAGAAAAAAAUGCCACAUAUAAACAAAUAGGUUUCUUGGGUGGGGGUGAGUAGUAGGGAUUGGACUUGGGAGCAACCAACCACUGAGCCACAUCCCCAGCCCUAUUUUUUUUUUAAUAUUUAUUUUUUAGUUGCAUUUGGACACAGUACCUUUUAUUUUAUUUAUUUAUUUUCAUGUGGUGCCAAGGAUCGAACCCCAGGGCCUCACACGUACUCACCACUGAGCCACAACCCCAGCCCUAUUUUUUAUUUUAUUUAGAGACAGGUCUCACUGAGUUGCUUAGUGCCUGGCAUUUCUGAGGCUUGCUUUGAACUUGGGAUCCUCCUAUCUCAGCCUCCUGAGCUGCUGCGAUUACAGGCAUGCGCCAUUGCACCUAGCACAAGUAGGUUUUGAAUCUUUGUAGCUUUGGAAAAAACAAUCAUUUUUAGAGAGGAAAGACUAAACUUGGGCAAGACCCUCUAUUGUGUAUUUGCUCUGUGUGAAAUAGAAAUUCUAGGCCUCAGAUGCCAAAGGCUAAAACGUUCAUCUGGAAUUCCUUUCAGUUUCUUGGAGAAUUGUUUUUUGUAGAUGAACUGAUUUCCUUACUCUGGGGAUCUUUGCUGCCUCUAACCUGGUCAGAAGAGAGUUCCCCAGCUCACUGUGGAAUUGUCUUGAGAAUAAAUGGCUGACAUUGUUGACUUUUUUUCUCAGGUAUAUCUUCUGUUACCUCCAGGUAUUCAGUACCUCUUAAGAUGGAGGGUAUGAAAAUUCUAUUAAAAGACAACUGUACUUCCCCUGAAAGUGGAAGUCUAGAUAAACAUCAUACAGACAAGAUUGUCCAAAUAACACUGUUGGACAUUGUUUAACAACACUGCUUUAUCUUGAAAUUGGGAGAAAACAAGAGUAAAAUCUGAAUCUUUCAUGGAGAAAAUAAAUUUUAAACCAGAUGUAUAGAUUAGAGAGUAAAGGCAGGAAGAUUCCAUUCAUAGAAUAGAGAGAACAGAUAGCUGUUCAUAUACUUGUGUCUAUUGUACUGCUUCCCAGAAAUGGUCUAGAUCAAUCAGUAGUAAGUAGCUCAACGAAAGUUUCAAGAUCUUUCAUUAAUCCUUUAAUCUCUACUUUUACUUUCCCUUUAAGUAAAUUGAAGGAAAUAAAUCUUUUUUUUUUUUCCUUUUGGUAGUAUUGGGGAUUGAGCCCAGGGCCUUGUUCGUGCUAAGGAAGCACUGAACUACAUCCCUAGCCCAAGGAAAUAAUCUAUGUCCUGUUCAAAGAAGGACGGUGAAUAAUGUAUUGAAUUAUCUUGCUUUUUAGCUCCUUGGGUUUUUUGUUUUUAAUCAUUUAUGACCAUUUCUCAUUAAUGUCACAUGCCUUUGUCUUUCAGCCACAAAUGUAUGGUUAUGAUGACUUGCAGAUGCUUCAGACAAGAUUUCCAUUGGUAAGUAUGUGGAAGGGAACUCUGGUAAAGGAGGUGAUCUAAAAAUUAGUUUUGUUUUUUUUUUUUGGUGCUUGGGAUCAAACCUAGGUUCUCACAUAUGCUAAAGCACAUGCUAUUACUGAGCUACACCCCCAGCCCAAGUGGACUACUACAACUAUACAUUUUCUACCAAUGUCAUAUCUUGUUUUUUAAUAUUUUGUGUCAUUAGAGAUUCAACUCAGGAGCUAGUGCACGCCAGGCAAGCACUUUACCAUUUAGGUAUACCCCACUCCCCAGAGAUGUGAAAUCUUUGAAGUAAACAGAUUUUAACCUACUCUGUAGCCUAAUAAAGUACUCAGGAGCUCUCAAGAUGCUUUCAAGAUGCUUUCUAUAUGUCUCAAACACUUAAAAUUACAGAAAAAAAAAUAUGUUUUUCAAGAUAAGUUUGGCAUAUGCUUUUAGAGAUGAUGUGUGGAGGUUGAAAAUAUUAUUGGUCCUGAUGGAACUUUAGCAGGCAUAUCCGUAGACCUUGCCUGGCUCUGCUUAUGGCCAGGCAGGGGGGACAGUAUAUGCAAGAAUAAUAUGGAGUUUAUGCAAACUCAAACCAGCUUCUUCGGUAGCUGGGUAAAUCGCAGUACUCCCGACAUUUUUGUGCUUCUCACCUGUGGUUUUCAUGCUGGAGAAUGAAUAGCAUUGAGUCUGUGCUCUUUUGUUACUCGGUUCUAGGAUUACUACAGCAUCCCGUUUCCCACGCCCACCACUCCGUUGACCGGGAGGGAUGGUAGCCUGGCCAGCAACCCUUAUUCUGGUAUGACUGGGACGGGGCCAAAUAAAGGGAGAGGGAGAUUGUAUUGGGAUGAAUGGCAAAACCCUGCUUAAUAGCAAGAAAGGACCUGGUUCUCACCUUACAUGUCUCUGGUAGAAGUUUAAAAUGGACGUGAUGAAUUGGUUGGUAGAUUCACAGUCCUGUUAAAGAUGAGCGUUUGGCAGCUUUUUUCCCUUUCCAUCUCACUUGUCUGUGAUUUCUAAAUCCUUCUCUCUCUCUCUCUCACACACACACACACACAUCUUACCUAAAAACAUUUUUUUCCCCUUUGGUUCUGGGGAUUGAACCUAGGGUCUCACAUCUAUACUAAGCCUGUGCUCCAUCUUCUGCCCCUCCAGAUGACAUUAUAACUUAGGUUUUUCAGCUUGUUCCAGAAAGUAGUGGUUGAACUGGUCUUCUCUGCUUCUGUACAUUGCUCACAGUGGCAGUCUCAUUGUCUUGCUAGACCUUCUUUUUUGGCCUGACUUUCUUGGCAUCCUCCUUGAUCAUUUUUUCUUAUCUGUCUCUGUCCCUUCAAGUGUAGCAUGGAGUGUUUCCCAUGGAAGAAAAUAGGGGCUGGGAGUGAAAGAAUACAAGAAGGUAGAGAAAUAAUGUAGGAACUUUUUCCUGGGAUCUUCUUUUUGCUAUAGCAAAUAUACUCAGCAAUAGUCUUUAACUGGCACUGUAGUCUAUACUCAACUAUAGUUUAUACUCAACAACAGUCUUAACUGGCACUAUGCUAAAUGUAUUCUGAGCAAUGCUGAAUGGAGCUUCAAAGAAAUAUAAUUUAAGGAAUUGAAUUUUAAAAGUCUUUGAACAGGAUCUCUUGGAAUCAUGUGAAACCAAGAGGUGACUUGUGUUGCAGUGAAAGAAACGGGUACAUUUAGCUUCUUCUGUCACAGGUGACCUCACAAAGUUCGGUCGUGGGGAUGCCUCCUCCCCAGCCCCGGCCACAACCUUGGCCCAACCCCAACAGAACCAGACGCAGACUCACCACACCACGCAGCAGACAUUCCUGAACCCGGCGCUGCCUCCUGGCUACAGUUACACCAGCCUGCCAUACUACACAGGGGUCCCGGGCCUCCCCAGCACCUUCCAGUAUGGGCCUGCUGUGUUCCCUGUGAGUGCCUAGCCUUGGUCUCCUUGUGGUGAAGGCUUCUAUCCCUGACACUAUCCUAGCUGUGCUUUCAAAGCUAGAUGAGUCUAGUAAUGAAUGAGGGAGGAACAGUUUCCACAUUGGGCUUUCUUCUGGCCUGGGAAGGGGGAGUGGGAUUGGAAUUGGUUGAAUUAUAAUAGGGAUUAACUUUUUCUAGAAUUAGCCAGAGGGGAAUGUGAUACCAUACAGCUUUGCUUUCCUCAGAUGGCCAUGUAUUCCCUGAUAGCACUCCCCCUUUUCCUUCCUUCAAAUUGUCUCUUGAUUUCAAAGGUAGAUUAUGGAAAUAUUAGUAAGGAUCUUAUUUCACUAUUCAAAUUAUGGCCAGCCUAAAUCAGGAUUCAUAGCCACCUGAACACCUGGGCCCUGGAGUAGGACAGGUGAAACUGAUGGUGCAUGCUGCCAUUUCACUGCAGUUCUGGCCCUUUUGCUCUUCAGGUGGCUCCUACCUCUUCCAAGCAGCAUGGUGUGAAUGUCAGUGUGAAUGCAUCAGCCACCCCUUUCCAACAGCCGAGUGGAUAUGGAUCUCAUGGAUACAAUACUGGUAAGCUCCCCGUGGCCCUGGUUCAGUGUCUCUGUGAGGUGUUACUGGGUUGGUGAGGGUGUUCUGCUCUCUACAUAUGAUUAUUGAUGCUUGGCUGAAUUGGAUAUCUGGGAGCAUCAUCAGCAGAGGCUCUUGACUCUAGGAAAUGCUGUUACUACACAUGAUUAGAAUGCUCAGGGGCAUUUUUGGCCGCUAAAAUAUGUUGUCUGGCCUAAACUUUGGGUUAAAAGGAGGACAGGGCCCUAAGAUUUUGCUGAGAUAUCAGUGGAGGCAAGUGUUGUGGCACUGUAUAAAAGAGGAUAUAUUCACUGAAAAGAAAGGAUAAAUGCUUUCAUAGCUAACAAUAUGAUUAAUAGGCUUGGCUUAAGUCUUUUUGUAGUACUAUUAUUAUUACUAUUCCCCUUUCAUUCCUAACUAGAAGACCUAAGAUAUGGAGAGAGAGGAUAGGCAUGACCACGCAGUAGAGACAGAAUUAGACUGGGAGGUUCCUUCGUUUGUAUGACUGGUCUUCUUAAAAAGCCUAUUUGCAUAUCUGAUGGCAGGGAGAGAAUUGUAGGAAUCCUCUGGAUAAGUAAUGACCUAAAAGAUACUUAGCUUAUCACUUAUUUCCAUAUCUGACAUCCAUGCUCCACUUUUGAAGGUGGAAGUGGAGGAGACAUUGAAUAAAACCGUUUCAUCUACAUUUUUCAGUGACUUACAGGCAUAUAUGAGGAGGAGCCUAUUGUAGUUGCUAGGGGUUGGGGUUGAGGAUUGUCUUUUCAAAGCUCAGUUAGUUUCAAGGUGAUUUGGAUGGAGCAACAUCUGUGUGGGCUCCAGAUGAGUAAAUUGCUCAACAUUUUAUUUAUUUAUUUUUUGGUACUGAGGAUUGAACCCAGAGACAUUUUACCACUGAGCUAUAUCCCCAGUCCUUUUUAUUUUUUGAGAUAGGGUCUCACUAAGUUGCUGAGACUGGCCUCAAACUUAGAAGCCUCCUGCUUCAGCCUCCUAAAUUGCUAGGAUUAGAGACAUGCAUCAAUGCACCCAGCUCAAAAUUUUCAGUAAUUGGGAAACUGUCUUAAGCUGAGCACAGAAGGUAAUAAAGACUAGUUUUAGGAAUUAAUAGCCAGGUGGAGCUUUGGACUGUGCCUUAUGACUUAAGAGUGGGUCAUAAUAAAUUUUAAAAAUCCUGAGAAAAGCCCCAUUAAGAUUUACUACCCAGGUUCUUUGGGGCCACUGCUGUCACUGAGUAAGGUCUUGUUGAUGAUGGGAGGAUUAUAAGCCUUUUGACUUGGCCCCAUUCCAGGAACAUUAAAAUUAAACUUCAGCUGGUCCAGGUAUGAGAAUUUUCAGAGGUAAGGUAGGUGGUUGAUAAUGUAAGACAGUUGGCAUAUCUGAUUCUGGAAAUCCUAGCUUCUUACCUCCCUUAAUAUUUCAGAAACCUGUUAGUUCUUUGAGAACCCCCAAUUCCCAACCCCACAGAGGGCUCUUGUCAUUCCAUUCCUCAUCAACCUCUAAAUUCAUGUAUUUUUAUGUAUUUGAUUCCUUUUAGGAAGAAAAUAUCCACCCCCUUACAAGCAUUUCUGGACGGCUGAGAGCUAAUUUGGCCCAAGGCUGGGGGCUGUGUUUUGUGUGUGUGUAUAAAUUUGCACUGAAGUCUUGUUUCAGAAACCAGACCACUGAGGAGAGCCUGCUGAGCUGAGGCCAUGGCCUGCGUGGCUUGGGGAAAUGAGUUGGUGGAUAUCUUCUGGGCUUUUGAACUUGCCCCCUCCCCAUUUCCCUCUCCCCCUUGUGUCUGACCCUGUCUUACCCAUUUCGAGUUCAAGCGGUGCAGCACCUCCGAAGCAUCAAUGCACACACCUGCUGUUGCUUUUGAUUUCUGGAAGGCAUGUAGUUUCAACUUGUAACAAAAAUAUUUGUAGUCUUCAAUAAACUGUGGUAUUUCUUUAGCUAACUCUGGCGUUCUUUCCGUGCAUGUCUUUCUGGACACUAGGAACCAGUGUUGUAUUGUGGAUGAAGGGUGGAGGGUGGCCUUUUAAUUCAGACCCCAGCAUAGGCAAAGAGCUGUUAACUUUUCUGUAUGGUUGUUUUUAAGGUGGGAGGAGGGGAAACAACCUCAGUUUUCCAGCCUGUUGAUUGGUUGGUGAAGGAGGCUACUUAUAAAAUACCUGAUUCCCAUGCUUAUAUCUCUUCACUUUUCCAUUUGGAUCUUCCCUUUUUGCUUCUGACAUAAGCAGAGGAGAAAGGACAAAAAGGUUUAUGGAGAGAAAAGCAAAAAGAGAUGGUGUUCUAGGCUGUCGAUAGGGAAGCAUUUUCCAAGAUUUAAUUCCCACAUCUGUUUCCCAAAGACCGACUGGCUGAUUGAGAUCUGAUAAAUCAUUAGUGAUCAGCUAGUUGAUGACUCAGGUUCUGUGGAAACUGUGCUAGCCUGGAACAUUGUUCUUAUCCUUUGAUGGUUUCUCAGAGAUUGUGGAUUAUUAGUCAUUUUGCACUUGUAGGUGUAGCAGAGGAUGUGUGGGAGAGAUUUGAUUAGACAUCCUAAGUAUGGAAAUUCUAAUCACUACUCGGUCCACCAUCUACUAGUACACCAUCAGCCCUUUGGUUUAUAGAGUUAACUUAGAUGACCAUCUUUGGUUAAUUGAAAACCAAAGUGUUCAGCUUUCGUUGUAUUUGUUUCCAGCCCUCUAGAGUCAUUUUGCUCUGUGGAGGGUGAUCAGCUUUCCCAGGGCCUGUCAUAUUAGGAAAGAAUGGUUCUUGCUUCUCCUCCCUACCAUGCACAUUCUGUUGGAAUGAUUGUCACUGUUUGGGAGUGGGUAUAGGCACGACAUAAUAUAGGAAAGAAAAAGGGAAACCUUUAUCUAGGCUGAGCAUAAUUGUAGUAUAGGGUCGGGAAAUCAAUACCCAUUAUUUUCCUAGGUUUUCUAAUGGUUACCUUGAGGCUAUUAUGGUGACUACACAGUAUUCUUGGAGGCGGGGGUCUGCGUUUUCUAGUUCCUUAACCUCAUAUCCAAUUUAAGACCUCUGGACUAGAAGCUGUAUUUUAGCUAUUCCAGUCUCUGCACAGAAUAAGACCAGGUAGGGGUAUAGUACAAUUAAAUUUCUUCUUACCAGCCAGAUUAAGAAUCUAAUUAGUCAAUUUUUCCCUUCCUCCGGAGCAAUCUAGCCUUGAUUUGCAGAGGGUAAUCCUUUGCAGUAAAGAAAAAUCAGUGUUGGGGUUUGUCUUUAAAAUGUUCUGUUUAUUCCACCUUCAGUCUCAAUCCUUCCCCACAGCCCUUAUUUUUUAGCCAUUUCUGUUCUUGAACUCCCUGUUCUUAAAAUUUGCUACCCUGUUUUUCUCUAGAUGAACAUCUGAAGUUUGGAAAGGGAAGGGGAAAAAUACCCCGUUAGCUCCUUAAGAGGUUCCUGUCUUGUUCCCGUCUACUUCAGUACCUUCAGAGUGUAGAGUUGAUACUUUGGAGAUGGGGAAGUAUUUUCUCUUGCUUGGUUUCUGUAGUUCUGUUCUUUUUCCUAGUUGGUGUUUGCUCCUCCCUGGAACUAUCUGGACUUAUGAUGUGGGAGGGUUUUCCAGGUUAAGAUGCCUCUUCUGUUGGGAAGAUUCUAAAGUGACUGUCCAAGGUGGGCUUAAUUUCUGAAGGCUGGCUUUGUCAUAGGCAUUGGUUGGGAGGAUUUGGGUUCUGGAGUUUGAAGGGGGACUGCUGUUGAAUUGUGGGUAAAUGGAGAAUUCCUUAUUUGUGAUUUGUUCACUUAACACAGCGUUUUUAAAAAAAAUUUUCAUUGGGGUGUUUGUAACAGCAGAGGACAAGGAAAAAGAUCCUAGGCAUAGACAGAAACCCAAAGUUAUUCUGGUUUCAUUUUGUCUUCAUGGGACCUAAUGUGUUUUUAAAAUCAUGCUGUAAAUUCCUAGCUGUUUUGUUUCUCAAAUCUUUAAAAUUUCUUUUGAAAUGCUUAAUCUAGCAUUUAUCCCAUGGCCUUUUCUGUCUCGUUAAUCCAUUGCCAAACCCCAGGAAGAAGAGUGUAGUAUAUAUUUCAGCUUGAGGAAAACAAAAUGAGUGGUUAUACUGCUAUGGUUUCCUUAAAACUGUAGUAGUUAUAGGAAGAAGUUUGUCAACUGGAAACAUGCAAGUAGUGGUGUGGGUUAGGGCUUUUCAUGGAAACAACUAAAAAAACAACCAAUGUAUUUAGUUUCUGUAUCCCACAUAAGCUUUAGGAAAUAGCCCACUCUUACCUACACACUUUCCCUCCUUGCCUCUGUACUAGAAGUGAGUAAAUGGAAACUCACCUUUAUGCCAGCACUUUAAUUAAUAAAAAGCUGAAAAACUCCUAAGACUGGAGAACUGGACUAGGUGAGCCAAGGCUCCAGGAAUAAAAAUGCUCUUGGGGACUGAAUUGAGCUGUUCCUCCAGUACUUACCGUAUGUAGUAAAGGUAUGGAUUCUGAGCCCAAAAGUUGUCUCUUCAGGGACUAUCUAAAUCUUCAGGGGCAGGACAUGUAGGGUUUGGGUAGAUUGAUUUGAAGUGGACACUACAUUUUUAUUACAUUCUUUUUGGCUUUGGCACAGAAGUGUUUUGAAAUCAUAUAGGCUGAUGAGGUUUGGUCAUAUUCCCUUGCUUACCCCAAAAACAGCUCACCUCAGUCUCGUACCUAUACUCCAGAUCUAUCUGGAAAAGGAAAACGAACCCUUAGGGAGCCUGUGUGUCAUGAACUCUUAUGAUCUCAGGACUGACCUGAAGGUGGGAAAACAGACCAAAAUUCCCUUUCAGUGCUAUAGCUAGCAAGGCUGCAGACGUCACUUGACCCCAGGAACAGGGCCAGCAGCUAGCUGAGCUAACCUCCUGUCUGUUUCCUCCUCCCUCAGGCGUAUCAGUCACCUCCAGCAACACGGGCGUGCCAGAUAUCUCUGGAUCUGUGUACUCCAAAACCCAGGUAGGUGCCCGGCUCUGGACAGAAGUAGAAAAAGAGAGAGACAGAGAUGUGGUGGCUGAGGAUCGAACCCAGUGCCUCACAUGUGCGAGGCAGGUGCUCUUCCAUUCAGCCCCAGCCCCCACACUACCUUUUUUAAAUGGUCUCUAGAUUUCAGUUUUUCUAGGAGUUUGAAUUUAGCUCUCUGAGAAGAAACCACAAAGAUGAAUAGGAAGCCAGGUGUGCUAAAAGGCCUGUAAUCCCAGUGACUCAGAGCCUGAGGUAGAAGGAUUGAGAGUUCAAAGCCAGCCUCAGCAACUUAGCAACUGAGUGAGACCCUGUCUCUAAAUAAAAUACAGAAAAGGGCUGGGGAUGUGGCUCAGUGGUUAAUUGCCCCUUAGUUCAAUCCCAGGUACCAAAAAAAAAAAAAAAAGAAAUAGGAAGGUGAGGUGUGGUACAUUGUUAUAAUGUGAUGUGGGUUAUUGUGCAGUUGUCCUGGCUUUUUUGCCCAGGGGCAGGGAUGCCAAGGAUAGUUAGCAAAUUUUCCUGUUUAUGUACAACGCUAGUUAAUUUCACAUUCAUCCUUCUGUUUGAUCCCUACAACAGAGAGGUCAGUAGCAUCCCUGUUUCAAGUAUGAGGCAACUAAGGCUGAGAGAUUGGUAUUUUCCCAGGAUUGGGUAGCUGUUAAAAGGGCAAGAGUUGGGACUGAGACUUUUAUAUCUGACUCGAGAUAUUCUGUUCCUUCUGACUAUGCUGUUUUCUGAGGGUGGGGGAGCUUUGGCUCAGAAAUUCCCAGGAUUCCUUUGCUGAUACCUUUUAUUCUUUCUCCUUCUUUCUUCCUGGACAGCAGUCCUUUGAGAAACAAGGUUUUCAUUCCGGUACUCCUGCUGCCUCCUUCAACUUGCCUUCAGCCCUAGGAAGUGGGGGGCCCAUCAAUCCGGCCACAGCUGCUGCUUACCCACCUGCCCCCUUUAUGCACAUUCUGACCCCACAUCAGCAGCCGCACUCCCAGAUCCUUCACCAUCACCUGCAGCAGGAUGGCCAGGUAAUAGCCCUUCUCCCUCUCUCCUUUCCCUUCCUCUUCCUUCCUGUCCCUUUAAACUGCCUCCCCUUUCCUUUUCUUACCCUUCCUCACCACCACCUUCACCCAAUCCUCCCCAGCGCCAGCCAGGGGCACACAGCACAUACAGACACAAGCGCACAUAACACAAGCGGCCGGCAAAAGAAAUGUCAGAGAAGGGGCAAGAUCAAAACCCUUUUUGCCCAUUUCCUUUGGUGUCUUUUUUUCCUCCACCUCCUCCCAUGGCACAGUUGUCCUCAUCCCAUCAGACCUGGGUCACACCUUCCCUUUUACCUCUCCCAGCCUUUCCCCUUUCCUGACAUUAUAGCUUUCCCUUCUAAUGGUGGAGUUCUAUUGUCAAAGUUUGUCCCUUUAUUUUCCAUAUAUCCUGGUUCUGCCUCAGCUACCAUAUUUGCAGAUGAUUCUCUGUUGCCAGCGCCAGCAGGAGGAGCAGGUAAUGAAACUGAAUGAUGAUAUGCUUGAACCCACUCCUUUUCAGACCCCAUUUCACCUCCAAAGCCUCAGGGAACUUGAAAAGAUUGCGCGGUCACACAUCGGGAUACACAAACACAAAACACCUUGCUGAGCUCUCUGGCCUCCCUAUCCUCUGUUCUCCUUCCCUCCUCAAUACCCUCUUGAUCUUUCUGUCCUUCCCCAACUCUGGAAAAACACUUGGUUACCAGAAUGAAAAAGAUUGGUGGGGCAGAAUCUGGAGCCUGAGGCUUCAGACUGUCUCUCCUUUCUUGCCUGAAACAGGCUCAUAGAUGUGAUGUGUGGUGGUGGAGAGAUCCACGGGGUGGUACAAGAGACCUCUUGAGAGCUCCAUCAUAGGUGGCUGGAGACCUAGAAUUAAGGGGUUCCCUGCUCUCAGCUUUUCAAGUUGAGGCAUUUAUGGGACUUAAUGAAAAUGGAAUUACCUUGUGGUCACUCAUCUCCCAGAACCAUAAUUCUCAUAGUACCCUUUUUUUUUUUCCAGACCCAGGUCAGGGGUAGUGAGAGAAGGUAGAAUUCAAAAUGAGUAGAACUGAGUUAUUAUCUCUAAGGUAUCUUGUCCUCUUUUCACCUUUCCCCUAUUUAAAGGUCAAAAAUGCUUUCUUGCAUGGAAGAGAGGGGGCUGUAUUAGCUAUGGAGACCAAAUUUCUAUGGUUGAAAAGUAAAUGUCAAUAGAAUCUGAGCAAGGGGAACAGGAGAGUAAGGCAGUUUGCACAUCUCCACCUGGACAUGGUACAGAUUUGUCCCACUAACUAGACACCUUUUUCCUCCCCAUCAUCCUCCCAUUCCCCUGCAGACGGGCAGCGGGCAACGUAGCCAGACCAGCUCCAUCCCGCAGAAGCCCCAGACCAACAAGUCUGCCUACAACAGCUACAGCUGGGGGGCCAACUGAGGCCCUGACCCUCCUCU
rnacentral:lncRNA from 1 species